CACACCGCCCGUCAUACCAUGGGAGUUGAUUGCACCAGAAGUAGGUAGCCUAACCGCAAGGAGGGCGCUUACCACGGUGUGGUCAAUGACUGGGGUG
rnacentral:rRNA from 1 species